rnacentral:tRNA from 1 species
GCGGGUGUGGCGGAAUUGGCAGACGCGCUAGAUUCAGGUUCUAGUGGGAAACUAUGCAGGUUCAAAUCCUGUCACCCGCACCA